rnacentral:rRNA from 1 species
GAUGAACGCUGGCGGCGUGCUUAACACAUGCAAGUCGAACGGAAAGGCCAGUGCUUGCACUGGUACUCGAGUGGCGAACGGGUGAGUAACACGUGGGUGAUCUGCCCUGUACUUCGGGAUAAGCUUGGGAAACUGGGUCUAAUACCGGAUAGGACAACUUUUUGGAUAUUGUUGUGGAAAGCUUUUGCGGUAUGGGAUGAGCUCGCGGCCUAUCAGCUUGUUGGUGGGGUAAUGGCCUACCAAGGCGUCGACGGGUAGCCGGCCUGAGAGGGUGUACGGCGACAUUGGGACUGAGAUACGGCCCAGACUCCUACGGGAGGCAGCAGUGGGGAAUAUUGCACAAUGGGCGCAAGCCUGAUGCAGCGACGCCGCGUGGGGGAUGAAGGCCUUCGGGUUGUAAACUCCUUUCGCUAGGGACGAAGCUUUUUUGUGACGGUACCUGGAGAAGAAGCACCGGCUAACUACGUG